rnacentral:rRNA from 1 species
UCCAGACUCCUACGGGAGGCAGCAGUGGGGGAUAUUGCACAAUGGGGGGAACCCUGAUGCAGCGACGCCGCGUGGGUGAAGGAGCGUUUCGGCGCGUAAAGCCCUAUCGGCAGGGAAGAAGGAGGACGGUACCUGACUAAGAAGCCCCGGCUAACUACGUGCCAGCAGCCGCGGUAAUACGUAGGGGGCAAGCGUUAUCCGGAUUUACUGGGUGUAAAGGGGGCGCAGACGGCAGCGCAAGCCAGGAGUGAAAGCCCGGGGCCCAACCCCGGGACUGCUCUUGGAACUGCGCGGCUGGAGUGCAGGAGGGGCAGGCGGAAUUCCUGGUGUAGCGGUGAAAUGCGUAGAUAUCAGGAGGAACACCGGUGGCGAAGGCGGCCUGCUGGACUGCAACUGACGUUGAGGCCCGAAAGCGUGGGGAGCAAACAGGAUUAGAUACCCCAGUAAG